GCCAACGUGGCAUAGUGGUUUGAGCACUGGGCUAUGACUCUGGAGACCAGGAUUCAAAUCCCUGCACUGCCA